CCUGCUGCAGUAAAGCCCCUCACAAGGGCGUAAGUGAGCUGGCCUGCUCCGAUAAAUCCAACGCUCAUGAUUAUUAUUGGAGUACGGUAUGUA